CACAACAGAGCGGGCGCGUCUUUCGGAGCUUCUUGGGUCGGAUAUGCUAGGUGGAAUAGUAGUGGUGAAGUAAGGCUUCAACCAGGGCGAAGAUCCUUAGGUGGUCGAGAGAGGAUGAUCAGCACAUGGAAAUCGAGGACCACGGUUCCAAGAUUCUACGGGAGGGCCAGCAGUGGGGAAAUAUUGCAACAAUGGGCGGCAAGGCUGAUGCAGCCAUGCCGGGGUGGUGUGAAGAAGGCUUUCGGGUGUAAAGCACUUUCAGUCGUGAGGAAGGGUUUAUGCGUUAAUAGCGUAUAGAUUUGACGUUAGCGACAGAAGAAGCACCGGCUAACUCCGUGCCAGCAGCCGCGGUAAUACGGAGGGUGCGAGCGUUAAUCGGAAUUACUGGGCGUAAAGCGCAUGCAGGUGGUUUGUUAAGUCAGAUGUGAAAGCCCGGGGCUCAACCUCGGAAUAGCAUUUGAAACUGGCAGACUAGAGUACUGUAGAGGGGGGUAGAAUUUCAGGUGUAGCGGUGAAAUGCGUAGAGAUCUGAAGGAAUACCGGUGGCGAAGGCGGCCCCCUGGACAGAUACUGACACUCAGAUGCGAAAGCGUGGGGAGCAAACAGGAUUAGAUACCCUGGUAGUCCACGCCGUAAACGAUGUCUACUUGGAGGUUGUGGCCUUGAGCCGUGGCUUUCGGAGCUAACGCGUUAAGUAGACCGCCUGGGGAGUACGGUCGCAAGAUUAAAACUCAAAUGAAUUGACGGGGGCCCGCACAAGCGGUGGAGCAUGUGGUUUAAUUCGAUGCAACGCGAAGAACCUUACCUACUCUUGACAUCCAGAGAACUUUUCAGAGAUGAAUUGGUGCCUUCGGGAACUCUGAGACAGGUGCUGCAUGGCUGUCGUCAGCUCGUGUUGUGAAAUGUUGGGUUAAGUCCCGCAACGAGCGCAACCCUUAUCCUUGUUUGCCAGCGAGUAAUGUCGGGAACUCCAGGGAGACUGCCGGUGAUAAACCGGAGGAAGGUGGGGACGACGUCAAGUCAUCAUGGCCCUUACGAGUAGGGCUACACACGUGCUACAAUGGCGCAUACAGAGGGCGGCCAACUUGCGAAAGUGAGCGAAUCCCAAAAAGUGCGUCGUAGUCCGGAUUGGAGUCUGCAACUCGACUCCAUGAAGUCGGAAUCGCUAGUAAUCGUGGAUCAGAAUGCCACGGUGAAUACGUUCCCGGGCCUUGUACACACCGCCCGUCACACCAUGGGAGUCCCCUGCUAAAAGAUGCUCGGUAGCUUCAACCUGCGGGGACAUCGACCCUGCC
rnacentral:rRNA from 1 species